rnacentral:rRNA from 1 species
GAUAAACGCUGACAGAAUGCUUAACACAUGCAAGUCGAUGAUGGGAGCUAGCUUGCUAGAAGAAGUCAUGGCGGACGGGUGAGUAACGUGUAAAGAACUUACCAUAUAGACUGGGAUAACAGAGGGAAACUUCUGAUAAUACUGGAUAAGUUAGUAGUAGCAUUACUAAGUAAUGAAAGGUAGCAAUACGCUAUAUGAGAGCUUUGCAUCCUAUUAGCUAGUUGGUGGGGUAAAAGCCUACCAAGGCGAUGAUAGGUAGCCGGCCUGAGAGGGUGGACAGCCACAAGGGGACUGAGAUACGGCCCUUACUCCUACGGGAGGCAGCAGUGGGGAAUAUUGGACAAUGGAGGCAACUCUGAUCCAGCAAUUCUGUGUGUGUGAAGAAGGUUUUAGGACUGUAAAACACUUUUAGUAGGGAAGUAAGAAAUGACGGUACCUACAGAAGAAGCGACGGCUAAAUACGUG